rnacentral:rRNA from 1 species
GAUGAACGCCGGCGGCGUGCCCAAUACAUGCAAGUCGAGCGAAUGGAUUAAGAGCUUGCUCUUAUGAAGUUAGCGGCGGACGGGUGAGUAACACGUGGGUAACCUGCCCAUAAGACUGGGAUAACUCCGGGAAACCGGGGCUAAUACCGGAUAACAUUUUGAACCGCAUGGUUCGAAAUUGAAAGGCGGCUUCGGCUGUCACUUAUGGAUGGACCCGCGGCGCAUUAGCUAGUUGGUGAGGUAACGGCUCACCAAGGCACCGAUGGGCAGCCGACAUGCGAGGGUGAUCGGCCACGCUGGGACUUAGACACGGCCCAGACUCCUACGGGAGGCAGCAGUAGGGAAUCUUCCGCAAUGGACGAAAGGCUGACGGAGCAACGCCGCGUGAGUGAUGAAGGCUUUCGGGUCGUAAAACUCUGUUGUUAGGGAAGAACAAGUGCUAGUUGAAUAAGCUGGCACCUUGACGGUACCUAACCAGAAAGCCACGGCUAACUACGUGCCAGCAGCCGCGGUAA